rnacentral:rRNA from 1 species
CCUACGGGAGGCAGCAGUGGGGAAUCUUGCACAAUGGAGGAAACUCUGAUGCAGCGAUGCCGCGUGAGUGAAGAAGGCCUUUGGGUUGUAAAGCUCUUUUGUAGGGGAAGAUAAUGACUGUACCCUAAGAAUAAGGUCCGGCUAACUUCGUGCCAGCAGCCGCGGUAAUACGAAGGGACCUAGCGUAGUUCGGAAUUACUGGGCGUAAAGCGCGCGUAGGCCGUUGAGUUAGUUAAUUGUGAAAUCCCAAAGCUUAACUUUGGAACUGCAAUUAAAACUGCUCGACUAGAGUUUGAUAGAGGAAAGCGGAAUACAUAGUGUAGAGGUGAAAUUCGUAGAUAUUAUGUAGAACACCAGUUGCGAAGGCGGCUUUCUGGAUCAACACUGACGCUGAGGCGCGAAAGUAUGGGUAGCAAAGAGGAUUAGAUACCCUCGUAGUCCAUACCAUAAACGAUGAUUGCUAGAUGUUGGAAAUUUAUUUUCAGUAUCGCAGCUAACGCAUUAAGCAAUCCGCCUGGGGAGUACGACCGCAAGGUUAAAACUUAAAUGAAAUUGACGG